GAAUUUUGGGCAAUGGGCGAAAGCCUGACCCAGCAACGCCGCGUGAGGGAUGAAGGCCUUCGGGUCGUAAACCUCUGUCGAGAGGGAAGAAUGACCUCUGGUCGAACGGGCCAGGGGUUUGACGGUACCUCCAAAGGAAGCACCGGCUAACUCCGUGCCAGCCGCCGCGGUAAUACGGAGGGUGCAAGCGUUGUUCGGAAUUACUGGGCGUAAAGCGCGUGUAGGCGGCUUGGCAAGUCGGGUGUGAAAUCCCGGGGCUCAACCCCGGAACUGCAUUCGAAACUGCCUGGCUCGAGUCCCGGAGAGGGUGGUGGAAUUCCCAGUGUAGAGGUGAAAUUCGUAGAUAUUGGGAGGAACACCAGUGGCGAAGGCGGCCACCUGGACGGUGACUGACGCUGAGACGCGAAAGCGUGGGGAGCAAACAGG
rnacentral:rRNA from 1 species